GUCUCUUUAACAAACAGCACAGCUCCUAUCAAGCGAUCUUCUCCUACAGCAACUCUCAAAUGGUUCCAGAAACUGCCUCUUCCCCUUGCCCUGUUAGUUCUAAGAGUAGAGAGACAGCUCACCUUUGUUGCUAACCCAGGGAUAUUGCAUCACUCCUUGUAGCUUUCCCCUAACGCAGCCCACACCUUGUAAAGAGUCAUUUUUAAAUUCUCCUUAAUUACAAGAUUGAGUGUGCCUUCUCUUUCCUGUUGGGACCCUAACUUAUACAAGUGGGGACAGGAAUACAAUUAGUUUUCACCCCUAGACCCACAAAAGUAAGUCCUAAUCAUUGUUAGCAGAUUAGUAGUAAAUGCUCUUGAGUCAUAUAUAAAAAUAAAAACUUUAUUAUGGGCUCGUUGUUCUCCCAUAAGGAGAAAAUAAAGGAUUUCAUUUUUAAUCAGUCUGAGGCUCAUUAGGAGAGCCCCCAGGGCUCCACAAGACAACCGUGGGAUGGGUGAAAUGCCAGUCUUCUCAGGGGAAAGAUAUGGAGCUCACAUUUCCUGCCGUCUGCCAGGGAAGACUUUGGAAGUAAAGAGGAUUGUAAACUGAAGCAUUGUACUCUCAGCCCGCUGUUCUUAUCUACAGAUCCUGGACUUGAGCUGCAACCCCCACCUGGAUUUCCAGCCUCCAGCCAGCCCUGCUCACUUCAGACUGGCCAGCCCCCACAAUCCAAACUGCAUAAAGUGAAAAUGGUGCACGGUGAUUAAAGAUCUCCACGGCGACAGUUCCCUGGAGUGAAAUACGAGGUCCUACUUUGGCAACACUGUCCACCAGGAAGGAUCUUCAUGGACACGCUGUGUCACUUGCUUCACUGCCCGUCUGAGCCAGGAUUGGACUGGCACAUUGCCUUGUUGAAAUUGGCUCCACAUCUUGUUUAAGUGGGCAUCCCGCCAUACUAAUUGAUGGGUAUGAGUGUAGACAUGCUAGAGAACCAGUAUGCACAUCAGAUCUGGGUAGGAGAAGGACUUCAGCCCAGAAAUAUCAAAACAGUCAGUUGUGUUGAGUUUCCAUGCCAAGGAGAGGGAAAAGAUGGUAUCAAUGUCACCGCUGCAGCUCAGAGUUGGAUUUAUUUUUAAAUGCCCCAAAUAGCUGAAAAAACAAGGAAGGAAUGGGCCUGAGGAGGAGCAGGGAGGGGCAAGGUUAUUGACUUUCAAAAGAUAUAGCUAAUAUCUGCCAACUGGAGGGCAAGGUUUUUUAUCCAAGCAGUUCCUUGAUUGGAGUAACUUUCUAGCUGAGUACUUUGGGCAGAUAUAGAAAUUAGAGCCACUAUGUGGGGAGCUCCCCAGGUUAAUCACAGUGGAGACUGCUGAAGAUGGGUGCAGACAACCGCUACCUACCUGGGGAAUGACUCUUCCUGCUUGUCCUUGAUGCCCCAGCCACCCUAUGGAAUCAACUAACUUUGCAACAAGUAUUUC
rnacentral:lncRNA from 1 species